CUAGCGUUGCUCGGAAUUACUGGGCGUAAAGCGUGCGCAGGCGGCUUUGCAAGACAGAUGUGAAAUCCCCGGGCUUAACCUGGGAACUGCAUUUGUGACUGCAUGGCUGGAGUGCGGCAGAGGGGGAUGGAAUUCCGCGUGUAGCAGUGAAAUGCGUAGAUAUGCGGAGGAACACCGAUGGCGAAAGCAAUCCCCUGGGCCUGCACUGACGCUCAUGCACGAAAGCGUGGGGAGCAAACAGG
rnacentral:rRNA from 1 species